UCCUAGAAAAUGAAAAAAAUAUUCUUGCAUUGGAAUUUCCAAUACCAAUGAAAUAGAUACUUAAAACUUUUAGGUCUUUCUUGAAUGAAACUAGUUUCUUUUGACAUUAUUUUUUUUUAAUGUCAAAUUUUUUUAUUGUAAACAAUAAAAAAUUCAAAAUGAAGGAUAUCUUUCAUACAGAUAUUUCCUAAUAACCCAUGACAAAUAGUGAUUUUAAGCUAUCUACUCUUAUUUUAAGAAUUGGAUCUUUCUGCUCACCUUGGGACCAUCGUCACCAUGAAGACAGAGAUUCCAGUCUUGUCCAGCUUCUCUUGAACUUGGUGUGGAAAGGAUCACUGGCCUGAAAUAUAUCUCUUUGAUAGUGGAACUGUUAGCAGUCUUCUCAGUGACUAUAGAACACAGUGAUGUGCAUGUGUGUAAAUAUCUUGAGAUCAUCCUAAUGUACUUUACUAUCGCAUGAGAUGCAGCAUCAAAGGAAGUUGGAUUAAACAUACCCUGUUAUCUUGCUCUUUCUUUUGCAACUCAAAUCCAUGUCGGAGCAUAGCAUACAGCAGCUUCAGGUGAGAAGAAUUUAUGAAUGUGAACUUACUUAAAUGGAAUAAAAUAUAACCUAUGCAUAUAAUAAUUUAAUAAUUUUAUUAUAAUUCUGCACAGCACUUCAUGGAAUCAUUGAACAAAAGAUUUGUGAAUCUUUAGAGAUAAUUCAGCUUCUACCUGACACAGACUUUACCUGAUACGUGCUUUUCUAAAUGCUCUCUUAACACCUCCAGGUGAGGAAGUUCAUUAUUUUAUGAUGCAAUUUAUUAAUUUUUUAUAGACUUCUAUGUGCUUUUAGAGGACUCUUAUGCUAAUCCAAAAUCUGUUUUCCUGUAAUUUAUAUGGGUUUUUAUUCUUCCCUGUGGUGCCAUGUAGAAUAACAGUUUAAUUUCAGGCAAAGUCACAUACACUUUUAAAUUUUUCACAGUAUUGGGGCACCUGGGCGGCUCAGUUGGUUAAGCGUCUGCCUUAGGUUCAGGUCAUGAUCUCAGGGUCCUUGGAUAGAGCCCCAUGUCAGACUCCCUGAUCAGCAGAAUGUCUGCUUCCCCCUCUCCCUCUGCUCCUCCCCUCUGCUCUUGCACUAUCUCUCCAAUAAGUAAAUAAAUCUUGAAAAAAAAAUCAAAAACAAAUUUUUGCAAUAUUUUUAGACUUUUUUUUUUAAGUUUUUUUUUUUUUUUUUUUUUAUGAUAGUCACAGAGAGAGAGAGAGAGGCAGAGACAUAGG
rnacentral:lncRNA from 1 species